GAUGAACGCUAGCGACAGGCCUAACACAUGCAAGUCGAGGGCAGCACAAGGAGCAAUCUGAGGUGGCGACCGGCGCACGGGUGAGUAACACGUAUGCAACCUACCUGUAAGAGGGGAAUAACCCGUUGAAAAACGGACUAAUACCGCAUAACACUGUAGAACCGCAUGGUUUGACAGUUAAACAUUUAUGGCUUACAGAUGGGCAUGCGCAUGAUUAGCUAGUUGGUGAGGUAACGGCUCACCAAGGCAACGAUCAUUAGGGGUUCUGAGAGGAAGGUCCCCCACACUGGUACUGAGACACGGACCAGACUCCUACGGGAGGCAGCAGUGAGGAAUAUUGGUCAAUGGGCGAGAGCCUGAACCAGCCAAGUCGCGUGAAGGAUGAAGGUUUUAUGAAUUGUAAACUUCUUUUGCAGGGGAAUAAAGUGUCCGACGUGUCGGAUUUUGUAUGUACUCUGCGAAUAAGGAUCGGCUAACUCCGUG
rnacentral:rRNA from 1 species